rnacentral:rRNA from 1 species
CCUACGGGAGGCAGCAGUGAGGAAUAUUGGUCAAUGGGCGCGAGCCUGAACCAGCCAAGUCGCGUGAGGGAUGACGGCCCUACGGGUUGUAAACCUCUUUUGUCGGGGAGCAAAUUCCGUUACGUGUAACGGAGUCGAGAGUACCCGAAGAAAAAGCAUCGGCUAACUCCGUGCCAGCAGCCGCGGUAAUACGGAGGAUGCGAGCGUUAUCCGGAUUCAUUGGGUUUAAAGGGUGCGCAGGCGGGCCUUUAAGCCGGCGGUGAAAUCGCGGGGCUCAACCCCCCCGGGCCGUCGG